AUUGAACGCUGGCGGCAGGCCUAACACAUGCAAGUCGAGCGGGGUUUUCGGACCUAGCGGCGGACGGGUGAGUAAUGCGUAGGAAGCUGCCCGAUAGAGGGGGAUACCAGUUGGAAACGACUGUUAAUACCGCAUAAUGUCUACGGACCAAGGUGUGGGACCUUCGGGCCACAUGCUAUCGGAUGCGCCUACGUGGGAUUAGCUAGUUGGUGAGGUAAUGGCUCACCAAGGCGACGAUCUCUAGCUGGUUUGAGUGGAUGAUCAGCCACACUGGAACUGAGACACGGUCCAGACUCCUACGGGAGGCAGCAGUGGGGAAUAUUGGACAAUGGGCGCAAGCCUGAUCCAGCCAUGCCGCGUGUGUGAAGAAGGCCUUCGGGUUGCAAAGCACUUUCAGCGAGGAGGAAGGGGUGUGUGUUAAUAGUACACACCUUUGACGUUACUCGCAGAAGAAGCACCGGCUAACUCUGUGCCAGCCGCCGCAGUAAAAC
rnacentral:rRNA from 1 species